UACGUAGGGUGCGAGCGUUAAUCGGAGUUACUGGGCGUAAAGAGUGCGUAGGCGGUCCUGUAAGUUUGGUGUGAAAUCUCCCGGCUCAACUGGGAGGGUGCGCCGAAGACUGCAGGGCUUGAGUAUGGGAGAGGUAAGCGGAAUUCCUGGUGUAGCGGUGAAAUGCGUAGAUAUCAGGAGGAACACCUGUGGUGUAGACAGCUUACUGGACCAUAACUGACGCUGAGGCACGAAAGCGUGGGUAGCAAACAGG
rnacentral:rRNA from 1 species